AGAGUAGCUUAUUAGGGCGAGGUCGAUUCAGUUGCUGGAGUUCAGAGAUAGUUUGAUUCCAGGUGCGAGACGGAGCUAGGUUGCAUCGGGCUGACAUUCUUGACCAGACAGACCAGGCAAAAGGGCAUUCAAAGAAGAUAUGGUCUCUAGAUUCAGCCGGGGCAUUACAUAGCAGACAAUUCGGGGAAGUUGGUAGUCCCCAGUUUAUGAGACGAUCUCUGGUGGGACAUCUAUCUUUGAUGAACAGCCAUGUUAAGAAACAAUGUUUAGGAAUACCCCAUGAGAUCCAUACCAAUUUGCACCAAGGAACCAGAGGAUUAUGAUGCUUUAGUUCUGUAUACACUCGACCGGUAGAGGGGGAGCCUCCAAAUUCCGUGGUGAUUGAGGUCAGAGAUAGUAGCCGUCUUUGGAAUACCCAUUCGCGCUGCAGGAGCGAGGUUCAGAUAGACAGACAGGUUGCCAAAGGGACUCCAGUUAUCACUCCAAAACCGACAGUAUCCAGAAGUUCGAAGUGCAUCCUGAGAGGAUCUCCUGCUUGAACCAAGCUACCCAUAUUGAUCCAGACCUAAAGAAGAGCAGCCAAAUGAGUUUCAUCACGCAAGCCUUGUUCCAGCCUUAUCAAGGAGGAUCGACAGGCAGUUCAUGGCGAUCACGAAGAGAUACGGAGACAAGGGGUCUCCCUGCCGUAACCCUCGCUUGCUCUUGAAGUACCCUUGCACUGUGCCGUUGUAGCCCACGGAGAAUGAAGGAGUGCAGAUACAAGCCCUCAGCCAUCGAGUAAACAGGAAAUAGGUCUGAAAUCACUAACUGCCGUUGCUCCUGGUCUCUUUGGGACAAGACUGAGAAUAGUUGCGUUUGUAGCUGAGGGGAGAAAGCAUGAAGAGAAAAAGGUUCGAACCGAAGUUAUGACCUCUUGUCCAACAAUCUCCCAUCCUGCUUUGAAAAAACCUGAAUACAUCUGGCUGUAGGGUCAUGGAGGAUACAAGUUGAGGAGGACAGCGAUAGGAGAGAAGCUCUUGGAACCAGAUAGAAGGGCAGACAACGAAUGGAAGGAUAGGAGGUGAUAGGAGAUUUUGAAAGUGAGAGACUGCCAUCAUUCCCAUAGCAAGUGGAUCAGAUACCAGAAGUCCUGCUGGAGUCGAGAAGGAUCUGAUUGAAUUAUAGGAUGCUCGAACUUGGACCAGACGGUGUAAGAAAGUGGUCUUGUUCUUCCUGGAAAAGUGCUUGAGUAGGAUUUUGAAGCGCCUGAAUCUGCACAUUAUUAAGCAAAAUGUUAGUCUCUCUCACUCUCUCUUGGAUAUUAGAAAAAUUUUCUCUGUUUAAUUCUUUCAAAGCUCCCUUUAUUUUUCUGAAUUUGUAGCAAAGAGAGGAGAGAUCCGAAGCAAAUCCACCG